UACGUAGGGGGCGAGCGUUAUCCGGAAUUACUGGGCGUAAAGCGCACGCAGGCGGUUCGCCAAGUUUGGAGUGACAGUUGUCGGCUCAACCGACAAAGGACUUCAAAAACUGGUGAACUCGAGGACGAGAGAGGAACAUGGAACUCCAGGUGUAGUAGUGAAAUGCGUAGAUAUCUGGAAGAACACCAAUGGCGAAGGCAAUGUUCUGGCUCGUUUCUGACGCUCAGGUGCGAAAGCCAGGGGAGCGAACGGG
rnacentral:rRNA from 1 species